CAGGGGGUGAUUUUGCUAUUCACAACCUGCACCAUUGCAUGUUCAAAAUGGCUGGUUGCCAUUGGUAACAGGUUGCACCCAGUGCAGGUAACAACAAAUCCUCCAACAUCUUACAGCUGUCAUCGUGUGUUUUAAUUGGGAAGUAAGUGGCUGGAAGAAAGAUGUUUC